GUUGAAACUCUGGUUCUCGUACGAUCACCGAAGUUAAGCAGUCUCGAGUUUAGUCAGUACCUCGCUGGGUAACUGCUUGCGAAUAGCA